rnacentral:rRNA from 1 species
UACGUAGGUGGCAAGCGUUGUCCGGAAUCAUUGGGCGUAAAGGGCGCGUAGGCGGUUAUUUAAGUGAGUUGUGAAAACUCUGGGCUCAACCCGGAGAUUGCAGUUCAUACUGGAUAACUUGAGUGCAGGAGAGGAUAGUGGAAUUCCUAGUGUAGCGGUGAAAUGCGUAGAUAUUAGGAGGAACACCAGUGGCGAAGGCGGCUGUCUGGACUGUAACUGACGCUGAGGCGCGAAAGCGUGGGGAGCAAACAGG